AAUCUCGUGGUGAAGUUCAUGUCAAAUUGCAAAUUUGAAGAUAUACCUUUAUUGGUGUCGGGGUUUU
rnacentral:tRNA from 14 species